UGGGGAAUAUUGGACAAUGGGCGCAAGCCUGAUCCAGCCAUGCCGCGUGAGUGACGAAGGCCUUAGGGUUGUAAAGCUCUUUUGUCGGGGACGAUAAUGACGGUACCCGAAGAAUAAGCUCCGGCUAACUCCGUGCCAGCAGCCGCGGUAAUACGAAGGGGGCUAGCGUUGUUCGGAAUCACUGGGCGUAAAGCGCACGUAGGCGGACCUUCAAGUCAGGGGUGAAAUCCCGGGGCUCAACCUCGGAACUGCCUUUGAUACUGUUGGUCUCGAGUCCGGAAGAGGUGGGUGGAAUUCCUAGUGUAGAGGUGAAAUUCGUAGAUAUUAGGAAGAACACCGGUGGCGAAGGCGGCCCACUGGUCCGGUACUGACGCUGAGGUGCGAAAGCGUGGGGGGCAAACAGGAUUAGAUACCCUGGUAGUCCCUGAGCGGGCUGGCAAGGCGCAU
rnacentral:rRNA from 1 species